rnacentral:rRNA from 1 species
UACGUAGGAUGCAAGCGUUGUCCGGACUCACUGGGCGUAAAGGGUGCGUAGGCGGUCUUGUGCGUCGGCGCUGAAAUCACACGGCUCAACCGUGUGGCGCGUGCCGAUACGACGAGACUUGAGGCUCUGAGAGGGUGGCGGAACUCCUGGUGUAGUGGUGAAAUGCGUAGAGAUCAGGAAGAACACCCGUGGCGCAAGCGGCCACCUGGCAGAGUUCUGACGCUGAGGCACGAAAGCGUGGGGAGCGAACCGG